rnacentral:rRNA from 2 species
AAAUUGAAGAGUUUGAUCAUGGCUCAGAUUGAACGCUGGCGGCAGGCCUAACACAUGCAAGUCGAACGGUAACAGGAAGCAGCUUGCUGCUUCGCUGACGAGUGGCGGACGGGUGAGUAAUGUCUGGGAAACUGCCUGAUGGAGGGGGAUAACUACUGGAAACGGUGGCUAAUACCGCAUAACGUCGCAAGACCAAAGAGGGGGACCUUCGGGCCUCUUGCCAUCAGAUGUGCCCAGAUGGGAUUAGCUUGUUGGUGAGGUAACGGCUCACCAAGGCGACGAUCCCUAGCUGGUCUGAGAGGAUGACCAGCCACACUGGAACUGAGACACGGUCCAGACUCCUACGGGAGGCAGCAGUGGGGAAUAUUGCACAAUGGGCGCAAGCCUGAUGCAGCCAUGCCGCGUGUAUGAAGAAGGCCUUCGGGUUGUAAAGUACUUUCAGCGGGGAGGAAGGUGUUGUGGUUAAUAACCGCAGCAAUUGACGUUACCCGCAGAAGAAGCACCGGCUAACUCCGUGCCAGCAGCCGCGGUAAUACGGAGGGUGCAAGCGUUAAUCGGAAUUACUGGGCGUAAAGCGCACGCAGGCGGUCUGUCAAGUCGGAUGUGAAAUCCCCGGGCUCAACCUGGGAACUGCAUUCGAAACUGGCAGGCUUGAGUCUUGUAGAGGGGGGUAGAAUUCCAGGUGUAGCGGUGAAAUGCGUAGAGAUCUGGAGGAAUACCGGUGGCGAAGGCGGCCCCCUGGACAAAGACUGACGCUCAGGUGCGAAAGCGUGGGGAGCAAACAGGAUUAGAUACCCUGGUAGUCCACGCCGUAAACGAUGUCUACUUGGAGGUUGUGCCCUUGAGGCGUGGCUUCCGGAGCUAACGCGUUAAGUAGACCGCCUGGGGAGUACGGCCGCAAGGUUAAAACUCAAAUGAAUUGACGGGGGCCCGCACAAGCGGUGGAGCAUGUGGUUUAAUUCGAUGCAACGCGAAGAACCUUACCUGGUCUUGACAUCCACAGAACUUUCCAGAGAUGGAUUGGUGCCUUCGGGAACUGUGAGACAGGUGCUGCAUGGCUGUCGUCAGCUCGUGUUGUGAAAUGUUGGGUUAAGUCCCGCAACGAGCGCAACCCUUAUCCUUUGUUGCCAGCG